rnacentral:tRNA from 1 species
AGCGGCUUAGGAUUGAACUAAGACCAAGGGCCUUCAAAGCCUUAAGUGGGAGUUAAAGUCUCCCAGCCGCUG